rnacentral:rRNA from 1 species
GAUGAACGCUAGCGGCAGGCCUAAUACAUGCAAGUCGAGGGGUAGAAGAGGCUUGCUUCUUUGAGACCGGCGCACGGGUGCGUAACGCGUAUGCAACCUACCUUCAUCUGGGGGAUAGCCCGGAGAAAUCCGGAUUAAUGCCGCAUAAAAUCACAGGAUGGCAUUAUCCAAUGAUCAAACAUUUAUGGGAUGGAGAUGGGCAUGCGUGUCAUUAGCUAGUUGGCGGGGUAACGGCCCACCAAGGCGACGAUGACUAGGGGAUCUGAGAGGAUGGCCCCCCACACUGGUACUGAGACACGGACCAGACUCCUACGGGAGGCAGCAGUAAGGAAUAUUGGUCAAUGGAGGCAACUCUGAACCAGCCAUGCCGCGUGCAGGAAGACUGCCCUAUGGGUUGUAAACUGCUUUUAUUCGGGAAUAAACCUUAUUACGUGUAAUAAGCUGAAUGUACCGAAGGAAUAAGGAUCAGCUAACUCCGUGCCAGCAGCCGCGGUAA